ensembl:lncRNA MAMDC2-AS1 MAMDC2 antisense RNA 1
AUAUCGGGGGUGCACUGGCACAGAGGAAAGGCCAUGUGAAGCAAGAAGGCAGCCAUCUGCAAGCCAAGGAGAGAAAUUUCAGAAGGAACCAACCCUACCGACAUCUUGAUCUUGGACUUUAAGCUGCCAGACCUAUAGCUUCACACAUAAGGAACCACCUUAGCAUCCUUCACUCAAUGCUGAAAGUGAGCAUCUGGUCUGCCUUUGGGCCAAUGCUAAAUCUCUUCAACAGCAUCCUUUACCGAAGCAACAUUGUCCCAGAAUCUGCUGAAGCAGCAAGAAAAGAGGUCAGCAGUAGGACCAAGCUGCAUAUCUUCUUAGGCAGGAGUGCAUCACUAUUGAGGCCAAAUGGACACUCACUAGCAAGGUGGCUGGAAACAACUGUUCCAGAAAGAACCCAAGGAAAAAUUUCCAGGAGGAACCCAAACAGAAAAAUCUAUUUUAUACAUUUUCUACAGAAAAUGCACCCCAUCAUUGCUUAUAGCCCACCCACGUGGACUGCUCAUUCUGUGAAUCAUGUUUUACAGGUGCGUUUUGGCUACUGAAAGCUUGGAGUCAAACCUGUAUGCCUCUUCCUUUGUCUGCCAAUAUAUUUUGUAUAUUAGGCCUCGGCCCUGGCUCCAAUUUAGAUUACCAUUUUUUCCCCUACUUUGUCCCUCUCUUUGACCUUUUAACUUACUUCUAUUCUUUGUGUGCAGAACUUUGUAAGCCCUGUUAGAUCCUUGCUGCAGCAAUGUACAUAAGCAAUGUAAUAAACAGAAAGGAUGAGAUAUUCAAUGCCCAUAUCAAAUCAUCCUGUGUGUGUAGAAUCACAAGUGCAUUUCAUUAUAGACACAAGACAUAAUUUUGCACAUUUCAAAAUGCAGUAAACGAUUCCUAGAAUGCUAUUUUAGAAGCUUUCCUUAGGAAACAGCACCACGUGGCAUAACUCACCUACCCCAGUAGUGUGAUCUCCCUUUGGUCCUGUGUAGGAAGUGGGAGUUUCUCCCCUCCUCCUGUGCCAGCUGCUCCGGUUUCUUUUCUCCUGAGUAAAUGUACAUUCAUCUUGCUCGAAAGUACACUCUCCAGGUGGAGGUGGAAGUUUCUCUGCAAGAAAAUAGCAGAUGUUGCAAUCACUGAGACUCUUUCAAUGACUCUGUGUUGCUAGCAGCCCACUCUGCAUGUAUGAAUGUUGUCUGGCCAUAUGCCAUGCGAUGGAGAGGCAGCCCCCACUGGUGGCCCACCUACACGGAGCCACUGCUUCCAGCUAGAGGCUGCAUUCCACUGCGGGUCCUGCCACAGACAUAGAGAACAAUCAGAUAUACAGAUCUAAAAUACUGGGCUACUUUGAGAAAAAAACUUUCUCUGACUUGUGAAUUUUUGUGAAUUUCUUUUUAUAAAGCUCUGGAAAUUAUAGGUAUAUUGCCUUUAUGAAAAUAUGGAAAAUAAUAAAAUUUCAUAAUGCAGGCACUUUCUUCAGAAAUCCUGGAUGAGUGAAGGGUAUCCUCAUAACAACUCCACAGUUGCUUUGUAGGUAGGGGAGAAUGUGAGAGUGCUAAAUGGACUCCUGGAGGCAUAGCUGUGUGGAACAAAUGACUUCACUUCUCUGUGCCUUAGAGUUCUUAUCUCUAAUGUGGGAAUAUUGAUGGUAGUCACUUCAUGGGUCUGUGAGGAUUAAAUGAGAUGGUAUAUGUAAAGUGAUCAUUUUUAAUGUGAAGUUCUCAAUAAUUAAAUUUUAGAACUUAUUUUGCCACCCAGAGGUUUAUUUUCCUUUUCCCAAAUCCAAUGUUUAUGUCUUUGAAUGCUAUCUUCAAUAACAUUCAUAAUUAUUAGAAUGGUGCUUCUUCCCAAUUUAUUGGGGACUUUUCCUUUGACUAAACUUGGUUGUACCUCCCUAUAUCCAGAUUCUUAGCCAAAUUUUUCUAAUAAAUAGCUUGUUUCAUA